rnacentral:rRNA from 1 species
CACGUAGGGUGCGAGCGUUGUCCGGAAUUAUUGGGCGUAAAGAGCUCGUAGGCGGUGUGUCGCGUCGGCCGUGAAAACCUGCAGCUUAACUGUGGGCGUGCGGUCGAUACGGGCAUCACUGGAGUUCGGCAGGGGAGACUGGAAUUCCUGGUGUAGCGGUGAAAUGCGCAGAUAUCAGGAGGAACACCGGUGGCGAAGGCGGUUCUCUGGGACGGUACUGACGCUGAGACGCGAAAGCGUGGGGAGCGAACAGG